GUGCCUCAGGGAGAAAAUCGGGGCACCUGCGCCAUGGCCUGGACCCCUCUUCUCCUCGCAUUCCUGGCUCACUGCACAGGUUCCAUGGCUGCCUACGUGCUGACUCAGCCCCCCUCGAUGUCAGUGAGCCUGGGACAGACGGCCAGGAUCACGUGUGGGGGAGACAACAUUGGAAGUAACUAUGCUUCCUGGUACCAACAGAAGCCAGGCCAGGCCCCCGUGACGAUUAUCUAUGGUGAUAGCAGCCGGCCCUCAGGGAUCCCUGACCGAUUCUCAGGCACCAACUCGGGGAACACGGCCACCCUGACCAUCAGCGGGGCCCGGGCCGAGGACGAGGCUGACUAUUACUGUCUGUCAUCAGCAAGCAGUGCUGAUGCUCACGGUUCUGUGGCCUCCUAUGAGCUGACUCAGCCCCCAUCUGUGUCUGUGACCCUGGGACAAACAGCCCGGAUCACCUGUGGGGGAAACAACAUUGGAAGUAAAAAUGUUUCCUGGUACCAACAGAAGCCGGGCCAGGCCCCCGUGACGAUUAUCUAUGGUGAUAGCAGCCGGCCCUCAGGGAUCCCUGACUGA